ACGCCAUCUUGCACAGUCUGGCGCAAAUGUUGCACGCAUCGCCGGGGCAAUUGCUGGCGCAAGUCUGCGGGAAGCGGUGGGCGGCUGGGUUCGCUUCGCCGUCGCCGUUGAACGUCAGUGGUUAAACGUGGCAUGGUGCAGCCCAAUGCGGAUGUCAUGGCGCAGUGGAAGCAGGACGCAAUAUUGAAGCUGAUCGGCGCGUACCGGGCGAGGAGGUUCCUCUGGGACUACACGGCGCCCGACUACACCGAUCGCAACAAGAGGAUCGACGCGUGGAAGGAGAUAGCCGACGAGGUGGGAUACGACGUGAUGACGGUGGAGAGGAAGCUCAAGAGCCUGAAGACGCAUUUCAUGUCGGUUCACAAAGCGUACGCAAAGCGCAGGCUCAAGGCCGAAUUGAAUUCUGGCAGCAUCGUCAAACCCAAGUGGUUCGCUUACGAGGCCCUGACUUUUCUGAUUAAGGGACGCGCGCCGCGACUUAAUCGCGAGCCACCGAACGUGGAGAAACAGAGUCAGCAUGCCGCGGCCGACCAUACCUGGAAACCGCAGGAGAUUUCGUCAUACCGUGACGAAUUCACGGUUUUUGCCGAGCACGUUGCCAUCCGGCUGAAGAAUAUAACGGACGUGCGGGCAAGACUCGUCGCGCAGCAUCAGAUAAACAACAUCCUGUUCGAGGCCGAGAUGGGAAAGUAUAACGCGCCGUCGUACAAUUCGGUGCAGAUGAUGGAGAACCUGGACGAGCCGUCGACGUCGAACGAAGAGAAAGUGUUAAUAAAUAUUCCACACACGAUCUAAUCGGAGCUUUCCGCGAGCAUGAUAGACCAUUGUCCUCCGAAAAUUCCCGACGAAUCGAUCACCUAGUGCUGCAUAGGCAAUAGUGGCCAAAACUUGCCACAUUGCGUGGAGCCGCACGAUUUUAUCGCGCGACUCCGCUGAAACAACAAUCCACUCGCCCAAAGAUCGCGAACGCGUUCGACAUGUCGCGGAACGCGCUCGGCCAGGCACCAGGCUCUAUUUAUGUGCCUCCGUUUUGUCGGCGUGUCGUAUCGCGCAUCGUUACGGCCACGAAAAGCCUGUUCUCGACCGGAACGAUCAGCACCAGCUGACAACAUGCGUUCAGAAAUGCGCGAUGGCGUGUGCACCACUUUCGGGUUGCACAGAUGACAACGUCCCUCGUUGGCGUUUUUGUAAAUUCAAACGGCGAGACGCCGACCUACAUUGACGAUUUAGAUUUCUAUUAGAUUGCGACUUGUACAAUUAUUUAUUAACGAUCGAGUAAUUAAUUGUAAGAACUGAAUAAAUGCGCUGCGAGAA